GUGUUCCAGGUAAAUCCGGUUCACUUUAACACUGAGGCGUGACGACGAGGCACUACGGUGCUGAAGCAACAAAUGCCCUGCUUCCAGGAAAAGCCUCUAAGCAUCAGGUAACAUCAAAUCGUACCCCAAACCGACACAGGUGGUCAGGUAGAGAAUACCAAGGCGCUUGAGAGAACUCGGGUGAAGGAACUAGGCAAAAUGGUGCCGUAACUUCGGGAGAAGGCACGCUGACACGUAGGUGAAGUGAUUUACUCAUGGAGCUGAAGUCAGUCGAAGAUACCAGCUGGCUGCAACUGUUUAUUAAAAACACAGCACUGUGCAAACACGAAAGUGGACGUAUACGGUGUGACGCCUGCCCGGUGCCGGAAGGUUAAUUGAUGGGGUCAGCGCAAGCGAAGCUCCUGAUCGAAGCCCCGGUAAACGGCGGCCGUAACUAUAACGGUCCUAAGGUAGCGAAAUUCCUUGUCGGGUAAGUUCCGACCUGCACGAAUGGCGUAAUGAUGGCCAGGCUGUCUCCACCCGAGACUCAGUGAAAUUGAACUCGCUGUGAAGAUGCAGUGUACCCGCGGCAAGACGGAAAGACCCCGUGAACCUUUACUAUAGCUUGACACUGAACAUUGAGCCUUGAUGUGUAGGAUAGGUGGGAGGCUUUGAAGUGUGGACGCCAGUCUGCAUGGAGCCGACCUUGAAAUACCACCCUUUAAUGUUUGAUGUUCUAACGUGGACCCGUUACCCGGGUUGCGGACAGUGUCUGGUGGGUAGUUUGACUGGGGCGGUCUCCUCCUAAAGAGUAACGGAGGAGCACGAAGGUUGGCUAAUCCUGGUCGGACAUCAGGAGGUUAGUGCAAUGGCAUAAGCCAGCUUGACUGCGAGCGUGACGGCGCGAGCAGGUGCGAAAGCAGGUCAUAGUGAUCCGGUGGUUCUGAAUGGAAGGGCCAUCGCUCAACGGAUAAAAGGUACUCCGGGGAUAACAGGCUGAUACCGCCCAAGAGUUCAUAUCGACGGCGGUGUUUGGCACCUCGAUGUCGGCUCAUCACAUCCUGGGGCUGAAGUAGGUCCCAAGGGUAUGGCUGUUCGCCAUUUAAAGUGGUACGCGAGCUGGGUUUAGAACGUCGUGAGACAGUUCGGUCCCUAUCUGCCGUGGGCGCUGGAGAACUGAGGGGGGCUGCUCCUAGUACGAGAGGACCGGAGUGGACGCAUCACUGGUGUUCGGGUUGUCAUGCCAAUGGCACUGCCCGGUAGCUAAAUGCGGAAGAGAUAAGUGCUGAAAGCAUCUAAGCACGAAACUUGCCCCGAGAUGAGUUCUCCCUGAGACUUAAAGUCUCCUGAAGGAACGUUGAAGACGACGACGUUGAUAGGCCGGGUGUGUAAGCGCAGCGAUGCGUUGAGCUAACCGGUACUAAUGAACCGUGAGGCUUAACCUUACAACGCCGAAG
rnacentral:rRNA from 1 species